UACGUAGGGGGCUAGCGUUGUCCGGAAUCAUUGGGCGUAAAGCGCGUGUAGGCGGUCCGGUAAGUCCGCUGUGAAAGUCGGGGGCUCAACCCUCGAAUGCCGGUGGAUACUGUCGGGCUAGAGUGCAGAAGAGGCGAGUGGAAUUCCUGGUGUAGCGGUGAAAUGCGCAGGUAUCAGGAGGAACACCAAUUGCGAAGGCAGCUCGCUGGGACGUUACUGACGCUGAGACGCGAAAGCGCGGGGAGCAAACAGG
rnacentral:rRNA from 1 species